rnacentral:rRNA from 1 species
AGAGUUUGAUUCUGGCUCAGACUGAACGCUGGCGGCGUGGUUAAAGCAUGCAAGUCGAGCGGACCCGCAAGGGUUAGCGGCGAAAGGGUGAGUAAAAGUAUCCAACGUACCCCGAGGUGUGGGAUAGGCAGGGGAAACCCGGCAUAAUACCACAUGAUCUCUACGGAGCAAAGAUUUAUCGCCUUGGGAGCGGGGAUACACCUAUCAGGUAGUUGGCGGGGUAACGGCCCACCAAGCCGAAGACGGGUAGCAGGUGUGAGAGCACGGCCUGCCACAUCGAAACUGAGACACUGUUCGGACUCCUACGGGAGGCUGCAGCGACGAAUCUUCCGCAAUGGGCGAAAGCCUGACGGAGCGACGCCGCGUGUGGGAUGAAGCGGCUUUGCCGUGUAAACCACUGUCAGGGAAUAGAAACAUUGAUCAUUUCCAAAGGAAGAGGCGACUAACUCUGUGCCAGCAGCCGCGGUAAUACAGAGACUGCAAGCGUUAUUCGGAUUCACUGGGCGUAAAGGGUGCGCAGGCGGCCGUGUGUGUGAGGCGUGAAAGCCUGGGGCUUAACCCCAGAAUUGCACCUCAAACUACAUGGCUAGAGCAUUGGAGAGGGUAGCAGAAUUCAUGGUGUAGCAGUGAAAUGCGUAGAUAUCAUGAGGAAUACCAGAGGCGAAGGCGGCUACCUGGACAAUUGCUGACGCUCAGGCACGAAAGCGUGGGGAGCAAAAGGGAUUAGAUACCCCUGUAGUCCACGCCCUAAACGGUGCACACUAGGUCUUGGCGGAUUCGACCCCACCAGGGCCCAAGCUAACGCGUUAAGUGUGCCGCCUGAGGACUACGGCCGCAAGGCUAAAACUCAAAGGAAUUGACGGGGGCCCGCACAAGCGGUGGAGUAUGUGGCUCAAUUCGAUCCACGCGAAGAACCUUACCUAGCCUUGACAUGCAGGAGACCGGCGCUGAAAGGCGUCUUUCCUUCGGGACUGCUGCACAGGUGCUGCAUGGCUGUCGUCAGCUCGUGUCGUGAGAUGUUGCGUUAAGUCGCGCAACGAGCGCAACCCCUGUCCUUAGUUGCCAUCAUUAAGUUGGGCACUCUAGGGAGACAAACCCUCUUUGAGGGUGGGAAGGUGGGGAUGACGUCAAGUCAGGAUGGCCCUUACGGCUAGGGCUGCACACGUACUACAAUGCCCGGUACAGAGGGAAGCAAUACCGCGAGGUGGAGCAAAUCCUGAAAACCGGGCCCAGUUCAGAUUGUAGUCUGCAACUCGACUACAUGAAGUUGGAAUCGCUAGUAAUGGCGCAUCAGCUACGGCGCCGUGAAUACGUUCCCGGGCCUUGUACACACCGCCCGUCACGUCAUGAAAGCCGGUUUCGCCCGAAGUGCGUUUGCCAACCAGCAAUGGAAGCGGCGCCCUAAGGUGAGGCUGGUGAUUGGGACGAAGUCGUAACAAGGUA